CUACUGGGCCAGCUCCUAAACUGCUGGGGGUCUGGGGGGCCUGGGUUCUUCUCUCCCCCCACUCCCCCCACCCCCACCUCCCUCGGAUGCUAGGAGAAGGUAACUCUCCGUCCAGGGAAUACCUGCACGGGCGAGCCCCUGGGCUACCGAGCCGUCCGGGGUGCCCACAGAGGCAUGGAAGAUGGCUCUGCCUGGAGAGUUGAAAAACAGCAGUAAGAAGAGGGAGACAUGACCUGUCUUGCUUUGGGAAAAAAAGAAAAACAAGUCUCUGAAACUGUCUUCAGUGUGCGUGCAGAACCUCCUAGAGUGCAUAUUAGUUUCAUCUGGCAAAUCAGCUUAUAAAGGGGAAAGCUAUGAGAUUCUAAGCAAACUUCCCUGUCCUUUGUGCAAGAGGUAAAAGGGAGUGGCGGAAAAAGUGUGAUGUGCCUGAGAGGAACAAAGAAAGGAAAGCGGAUAAGCAGGGGGUGCUUCCAGUUUUCAAGCUUCCUUUGUUGGCACUGUUGGAGACAGAGUAUUGGAUGGAUGGACCACUGAGCUUAAGGAGCUAUAUAAGUCUGUAUAUUCCAUCUUUCAUGCCCCACAACUCUCUACACAAACUGCAACCAAGAGGGCAGAGAAAGCAAUGAAGCAAAUUCCCUGUCACCCCUAUACCUACAUAAAGGAAAAAUGGAUGUGCUUACAACAUUCUUAUUAAAUAAUCAAUUAGUUGAAGGAAACAAUAGCUAAUUUAAAAAUAACUGUGAUGUUAAAAGUCCCAUCUAA